AAUCAACGCUGGCGGCGUGCCUAACACAUGCAAGUCGAACGAGAAAGCUCGUAGCAAUACGGGUGAGUACAGUGGCGCCCGGGUGAGUAGCACGUGGAUAACCUGCCUUUAAGUGGGGAAUAACCCUGGGAAACCGGGCUAAUACCGCAUAACACCUAGCGACUGCGGUCGCCGGGUUGAAACCUGGAAACGGGGCUUGAAGAGGGGUCCGCGCCCGAUUAGCUAGUUGGCGGGGUAAUGGCCCACCAAGGCUGUGAUCGGUAGCCGGCCUGAGAGGGCGUCGGCCANACUGGAACUGACAUACGGUCCAGACUCCUACGGGAGGCA
rnacentral:rRNA from 1 species